UACGGAGGGGGCUAGCGUUGUUCGGAAUUACUGGGCGUAAAGCGCACGUAGGCGGCUUUGCAAGUUAGAGGUGAAAGCCCGGGGCUCAACUCCGGAAUUGCCUUUAAAACUGCAUCGCUAGAAUUGUGGAGAGGUAAGUGGAAUUCCCGGUGUAGAGGUGAAAUUCGUAGAUAUCGGGAGGAACACCAGUGGCGAAGGGCGGCGAUCUGGGAAGAUACUGACGCUGAGGUGCGAA
rnacentral:rRNA from 1 species